GAUGAACGCUGGCGGCGUGCUUAACACAUGCAAGUCGAACGGAAAGGCCCAAGCUUGCUUGGGUCCUCGAGUGGCGAACGGGUGAGUAACACGUGGGUGAUCUGCCCUGCACUUCGGGAUAAGCCUGGGAAACUGGGUCUAAUACCGGAUAGGACGAUGGUUUGUAUGCCAUUUUGGAAAGUUUUUUCGUUGUGGGAUGAGCUCGCGGCCUAUCAGCUUGUUGGUGGGGUAAUGGCCUACCAAGGCGUCGACGGGUAGCCGGCCUGAGAGGGUGUACGGCCACAUUGGGACUGAGAGACGGCCCAGACUCCUACGGGAGGCAGCAGUGGGGAAUAUUGCACAAUGGGCGCAAGCCUGAUGCAGCGACGCCGCGUGGGGGAUGACGGCCUUCGGGGUGUAAACUCCUUUCGCUAGGGACGAAGCGUUUUUGUGACGGUACCUGGAGAAGAAGCACCGGCUAACUACGUG
rnacentral:rRNA from 1 species